AUGUGUAAUCAUACAUCUGAAUGACAAGUAUUACACUAAAGUUCUAGGCAUGCAAAGUGUGUGUUUGGUGCGCGUGCCAUCAAGUAGUUUUCGUGAUACUGGUGACAUAAUUAUAUGAUCUAUCUUAUUUGUGUGUCGGAUGUAUCAAAAUAUUCUACAUAUGCAUUGUGAUUCUUCUUCAGAAAGCGAAGUGCGCGUGCAGAAAACCCACUACCCUAUUUGGGAGAUUGAUACUCCUUUUGUCGAGUAACGACAACCAAUAUCUCUCCAUUUAAAUCUCUAAUUGCGGGACGGCAUCCCAAACUUGGUUCCCAUACAAAUAGGAACUACAAUAUUGUCAAUUAAUAUCAAGAUAUAGUGGGUAAAGAUUGGAGUCCAAUCUCUAACCAAUUCAUGUUUACAUAAAAUUGUUGAACUAACAUAAAAUCUUCAUUGUCCAAAUAAAUAGUAAACCCUACCCUAUCUCUAGCUACCUAGGUAGCAUUAGUCAGUCAUCAAGCUGUUAACGUAACUAACAAAAAAAAUAAAAAUUUCAUAACUAAAACCAAUACAUUUUAAGAAAUAAUUGCCAAUACCCAACUCACAAAAAACAAUAUUAUGUUAAUUCUCUCUCUCUCUCUCUCUCUCUCUCUCUCCUCCAUACAUAUAUCUUCAUGUAGACCCUAGUUCAAGAUCCAAAAUUAGUACCUAUAUGAAAAUGAACUAGUUCACCAGAAAUAUCAUGACAUUUGGGGGCAAGAAAAUGGGAGAAUCUUGUUCACGUACUCAAUCUACUCUUGUGCCUUAAGAUUUGAUCUAUUUUCAUGUCUAGUUGCACACCACCAUUCCUUCAGAGUGGUUUGUAAGACCAGCUACCCAAAAAAAAUCAAUUUCUGGGUUUGGUCCAUUAGCCAGGGAUUUUUAGAAGUGUCUCUAGAGGUUGUUCUGAUGUAGCUGGCAGUGAAAAAAAAUACGGUGUCUCUGAAAAUAGUUUCUAUAAUAGUGCACCAUUUGCAUGCUGUCCUUACAUAAGGAAUAAAUCUUGAAGCAAUUUUAAAAAAAAAUAUCAGUGUAAGCAUACUUUUUGAAAGAACGUAAGCAUACUUUUCAUUAUACUAUAAAAAAUAGUUAUCACAUUGGAAGCCACUCGCUCUGAUAUAUGUUAAUCUGUUUCUGAAAAGAAAAUUAAUUGUUUAGUACUUGGUCUACCUUACUAGAUGGCGAUUAGUCUUUCUUCAGGUGGUAUAUUUAUUCAAAAGAAAUAAUUCCUUUGAACCUAAUGUAACAAAAGAUCAUGGUGUUUAUAGGUGUUAGUGAAGUUUCAUGCAUGGUCUACAGUUCUAGCAGCUAAAAUUUAGAAGUAAUCAUGGUAACACUUUUGUCUACUUUUGGUGUUGCGUGUAUCAACAGCCUUUUUUCCUCUGUGAAACUGACAAGGUUGUCUGAACAAGUUCUCCUCAAUAUUUAAUUUGCUUCUUCAAUUUUAAGAUUCCCAUACGGACAAUAAAACUGCUCCAAAGUGAUAACAGCCUGAAAUUUUCAUGAAUGGAAAUCACACGUCAAAAAUAAGUGCUAUAAGAAUACGAUGAUCAAGCUAUGUAUGCAGCAGAUGGCCAUAUAUUGGCUGUAGACAUUAUGGAAUGUCAUACAGUCUAGUGUGAUCAAUACAUAAUGGCAAGCUAAUACUUAGAUUGUGGUCUAAUCUUAUUUAUUAAUUUUCCUAUUGCAUGACUGUCCAACAUUUAUUGGAGUUUAGUUGGCUACCGAAUUUUCAUGGUGCUUAUGAUAUAUCCUUGAACUCUGCUCAUUUUGUAUCUGGAACAAUAAAGGGAAAUAUUGUUUUGACAAAUCUAAUAAGUUUUAGGUAUAUAUCAGUUAGAAUGGGAAAGUUAGUGUUGAAAUGUGUUUCAGUGUGGAGGAUGUGAUUAGCUUAUGAAAUCUUGUAAAGACAUGGCUAUGUGCGGUCACAAGGCUAGCUGGAAACAAUUCCAUUUCCUAAAAAAUAAAAAUAAAAAAAGUGGAAAAGAAAGAUUUUUGAAAACAUGUGGUUGCAUGGCAUGCAUUCACACUAGAAGUGUUUUCUUAAAUGUCUUGAUACCAAAUCAGUAUACACACACACAUAUGCAUGUUGAUGUAUAUGUAUGACAAGUAUUUCCAUAAAAUUGUAGACAUCGAAAGUGUGUGUUUGGUGCGUGUGCCAUCAAGUUGACAUCAUGUUAUUGGCGACAUAAUUAUAUCAUCUGUCUAACUUGUGUGUCAGACAUAUCAACAUAUUCGAUGGGCUUAUUGCAAUUCUUAUCCACAAGUUGAAGUACGCGUGCACAAAACCCACUACCCGAGUUGGGAGGUUGAAUCUUAUUAUCGGGGUAACGACAACUAGUCUUAUCCUAGAUGUACCAAUAGUUGUAUCCCAUCCAUAUAUUCCAAUCUAGGAGGUGAUUACAAGAUAAACCACUUACCAUCUUCAUCUAUUUGCCUAGAUUAUCUUAUUUUUCAAACAUCUUCCCUUGUCUUAGGUCACAACUCAAUAAAAUGACAGUUCAUUUGAAUAACUUUUCCAUUGGAUUUUAAAUAAUAUACAUCCUGCCCUAUCCAAAUUCUUGUGACCACUAUUAUUUCAUCAUAUGACUUAGCUAUGGUUAAGUAGC
rnacentral:lncRNA from 1 species